GGCUGCUGCCAAUAUCUCAGUCCCUGGAGAGGUCUCACCUCUCACCGAGAUGUACCCAGAUCCUAUCAGAGAAGAAGAUUGUUACCAGAAAUACGACUUGCUCAAGAUCCUCAGCUGUUAAAUGUAGCCCAGAAACUCAAACCCAGGUCUUUUGAUCCUAGUCCUAUUUCAGGUCUAUUUUUAUACCACAGCUGCUCCUUUGAUUAUAAGAUGAAAUAUUCUCUGUCAGCUCUAUGACAAUGACAUGAAGGAACUUGAAGUAAAGGUCUUCUUUAUGACAAAAUCGGAGGAAGACAUUUUGCCUAGUCUGUGAAGUCUUUGGUGGCACGCUCUUAAGGGAGAGUUGCAGUGGCGUUGUGAAUCCUUACAAUGUCUGCACAUUUAAUAAACUGCAGUAGGUGCUGAGUGAUUGGGGAUUGUCAAUAAACCUUUCACAGUUCUCCAGAGACCUGCCAUCGCUGCUAGACAGUUCAUGAGUCAUGAGCUGAAAGCUGUUCAGCAUUCAUCUGGAGAUUUAAUUCAAAGUUCAAUUCUAAGAAGCAAG